UCGGUUGAUCCUGCCGGAGGCUACCGCUAUUGGAGUUCGAUUAAGCCAUGCGAGUCGCGAGAAAUUAGAUUCUCGGCGUACCGCUCAGUAACACGUGGGUAACCUGCCCUAUGCUGGAUAAUAACCUCGGGAAACUGAGAAUAAUGAUCCAUAGUUCACUACGCCUGGAACGGUGAGUGGAUGAAAGCUCCGGCGGCAUAGGAUGGGCCUGCGGCGUAUCAGGUUGUAGGGGGUGUAACGUACCCUCUAGCCCUCUACGCGUACGGGUGUUGGGAGACAUAGCCCGGAGAUGGAUUCUGAGACACGAAUCCAGACCCUACGGGGUGCAGCAGGCGCGAAAACUUGGCAAUGCGAGAAAUCGUGACCAGGGAACUCCAAGUGCAUGGGGUAAGACCCAUGCUUUUCUUGACUCUAAAUAGGUCUUGGAAUAAGGGGUGGGUAAGGACGGUGCCAGCCGCCGCGGUAAUACCGGCGCCUCAAGUGGUAGUCGCUUUUAUUGGGCCUAAAACGUCCGUAGCCGGUCUGAUACAUUCGUGGGUAAAUCAACCAGCUUAACUGGUUGAAUUCUGCGAGGACGGUCAGACUUGGGACCGGGAGAGGUGUGGGGUACGCUCAGGGUAGGGGUAAAAUCCUGUCAUCCUGAGCGGACCACCUGUUGCGAAGGCGCCACACUAGAACGGAUCCGACGGUCAGGGACGAAGCCUAGGGGCACGAACCGGAUUAGAUACCCGGGUAGUCCUAGGUGUAAACGCUGUGGACUUGAUGUUGGGGGUGCUCCGAGCACUCUCAGUGUCGAAGCGAAGGUGAUAAGUCCACUGCCUGGGAAGUACGGUCGCAAGGCUGAAACUUAAAGGAAUUGGCGGGGGAGCACCGCAACCUGAGGAUUGUGCGGUUUAAUUGGAUUCA
rnacentral:rRNA from 1 species